UACGGGGGGAGCAAGCGUUGUUCGGAUUUACUGGGCGUAAAGGGCGCGUAGGCGGUCGUGACAAGUCACUUGUGAAAUCUCCGGGCUUAACUCGGAACGGUCAAGUGAUACUGUCGGACUAGAGUACAGAAGGGGCAACUGGAAUUCUCGGUGUAGCGGUGAAAUGCGCAGAUAUCAGGAGGAACACCGGUGGCGAAGGCGGAUCUCUGGGCCUUACCUGACGCUGAGGCGCGAAAGCUAGGGGAGCAAACAGG
rnacentral:rRNA from 1 species